rnacentral:lncRNA from 1 species
AGGCUGUGAGUCAAACCUUGACACUGUGCCGGAAGGACGUCCACCUCUCACCUGAGGUGAAGAACCUAUGCCAUCACUUUGGACUCAGCGGACUCCACUGUUUAGAUGGACUUUCCUCUGUGAGAGUGCAAACACAGCAAGCAGAUGCCAACAGCCCCCAGCGACUGGGCUCGCAGGCACUAUUGUGGGUCAGACACUCAGAAGGACAAGCUGCUGGGUUUCAAGAGGCUCUUCAAGGAUAGCAGGGGACAGAGGAAACUUCUGCACUUGGGACCAGGAGAAUCAGACUGUCAGUCAAGGGAAAGGGCCCAAGAAAGUCCAGAAAAAGAUUCCAGGAAAGUGGCAAAUUCUCUAAGGAAAGACUAUGCCCAUCUGACCCAUCUCCCUAUGACCCAGCCAAUGGCAUAGGUGAAAUUACCGAUCAUAGAACAUAUCUAAUACCACGGUGCAAGAGGACCACAUGGAAAGCAUUCGAAGCUCUUCUAAAACACAGGCUCUUCUCGGGCUUUUGGCUUUCUUCACUCUGGAUGCCUAGGUCUGGUUUCUGGGUGCUGUUCCUCUCUGUCUAUUAUCAUCAACCUUCUCCUUAAUAAAUCAGCUCAAAGACACUGUC